GCCGACUUAGCUCAGAUGGUAGAGCGGUAGACUGAAGAUCUAUCGGUCUUGGGUUCGAAUCCCAAAGUCGGCA
rfam:Giardia intestinalis strain GS GS_B_0243, whole genome shotgun sequence.